UUCGCGUCAAUGGGAGCAAGCAAGAAACGUCAGUUGGAGUUUUGCGCGAAAAUGUUUGCGAAUCUGUUUUUAAUAAUAUCGUGCAAAUUUAGUGAAAAAACAAUAAGGUGCGUGUCGUGGAUGCAAUGAUGGACUGUCUGGAGGAAUACUGCAGGAGGAAAUUUAGAAACAAUCCCUUAAAAUUGUCUUUCUACAGUUUCCGAUCUGAUUAAAUUUCAGAAAGUGUGGAAGCACCACUUGGAAAUUGAAGGAAAUAUCUUAAAAAGCAACCGUAUGUGAUUUUGCAGUUUGAGGAAAAGAUUUUGAUCCGCAAAAGCAUGGGAAGAAAAUGAAAAAUAUUUUAAAAAGGGGGCCGUUCCAAAGACAUUAAAUUCUAUAACAGGAAUUAGUUCUCCAUUGAUAAAUCAGACCAGAGUCAGUGAGAAGAACUGUACAGACUGUAUACUCAAAUUUGCUUGACAUAACCAUGGAACUAGAAUGCUUCGUGAACAACUGAAAAAAGGAAGCAGGAUGAAGACCGUUAUUGGAAAGUGUGUGAGAUGAACAAAUUAUCACCAUGGGGAGAUUAUAAUCAUAGAUGCGCAGAAGCAUACACAUUAAGAAAAAAAGAGACAUUAAGUUUCGAAUGAUGUGUCAAGAUCGUCAAGAUUGAUGAAUUUCUAAAAGGACAGCACAACAAAAACACAUUCCUUACACAGGCAGAACAGUUGAAUUAAUUUUUCGGUCAUUCAUAAUAUGAGAAUUAAUAAAAUUUAAAAUUACAAGAUAAAAUUAAUUUAUAAAUAAUAAAUUGAAUGUAUAUAGCAAGUAUAUUGCUUAGUACAAAAAAGUUUUAGGAUAGCACUGCAGUUUAAUUAAGAUUUAAUUUUGUCAUAUUUGAAAAAAAAAUUAUUAUAAUACAUCAACUGGCUAACCUCACAAAUUAACUUUCAUAAUUCUUUGAGAUUUUUCCAAUAUUAUCUUUCUGUGCUUUUAGUUCUUAGCUAUCUGCAGAUUUAAACUCAAAACAUCGCAAUGGUGUUGUCAAACGUAUAUGUUUUUUAUCGUAUUUUGAAAAGUGAUGAUAUUAAUUUUUUUUUUUUUCAAAAACCAUUAAUGUUAAAUAAAAAUUUGUAAAUUUUAACUUUUUAGUGUUCUUUAAUAUUUUGAAGUUAGCGAAAUACAUGCCUUUGAUAAAUUGUAUGAUUUCGCUACAUAUCUAAUUGCUUUCAAGUUACUAUUUUUUUUAAGUUAACGUGUAUAGAAAUUCGCUGUAAUUUAUAUAAAUAAAGUUUUUAAUUAAAAUAAGUUCACCUCUUUUCUUUAUAGUUUGUAUGUACAUUACAAUUAUGUAGCAGUAAUCAUGAAAAUUAAUUACUAAAUUACUAGCUUUGUCCCAAAAAAGUCGUACGCUUGGGAAAAAUUUACUGAAUAAGAAUUGAUUUUUGUAAUUUUUUUUUUAUUGGUAACAAUCUUAAAUAUACUUUCAUUCCAGAAAAAAGUGUAAUUUAUAACCUACGCCACUGUGUUUUCGUUAAAUGAAAUUAUUCAAAAAUUAUGUGUCGCUCCUGGCGACAUCUGUUACUUAUUCUGAGUGGCACGAAAUGUAAACAGCGACACUUUUUAGAGCUCCGUGUCUAC